rnacentral:misc_RNA from 1 species
CAACCCUCAAGCUCUGCUUGGUAUUGGGCCCCGUCUAUUGCUGACGGGCCUUAAAAUCAGUGGCGGUGCCAUUAGGCUCUAAGCGUAGUAAUUUCUCUCGCUAUGGACGUCUACUGGAUACUUGCCAGUAACCCCAAUUUUUAAA